UUCGAAGCAACGCGAAGAACCUUACCAGGCCUUGACAUGCAGAGAACUUUCCAGAGAUGGAUUGGUGCCUUCGGGAACUCUGACACAGGUGCUGCAUGGCUGUCGUCAGCUCGUGUCGUGAGAUGUUGGGUUAAGUCCCGCAACGAGCGCAACCCUUGCCUUUAGUUGCCAGCAGUUCGGCUGGGCACUCUAAAGGGACUGCCGGUGUUAAACCGGAGGAAGGUGGGGAUGACGUCAAGUCCUCAUGGCCUUUAUGACCAGGGCUACACACGUACUACAAUGGCCGAUACAAAGGGCAGCGACACUGCGAGGUGAAGCCAAUCCCGUAAAAUCGGUCUCAGUCCGGAUUGGAGUCUGCAACUCGACUCCAUGAAGUUGGAAUCGCUAGUAAUCGUGGAUCAGCAUGCCACGGUGAAUACGUUCCCGGGCCUU
rnacentral:rRNA from 1 species